GGGCGGUUAGCUCAGAUGGCUAGAGCGCCACGUUGACAUCGUGGAGGUCACAGGUUCAAGUCCUGUACCGCCCACCA
rnacentral:tRNA from 1 species